AUACCUGACUCAUAAUAAGUGAUUCACUCAUGAAGGUGUUUUUCCCAGGGCGAGGCUUAUCCAUUGCACUCCGGAUGUGCUGACCCCUGCGAUUUCCCCAAACGUGGGAAACUCGACUGCAUAGUUUGUGGUAGUGGGGGACUGCAUUCGUGCUUUCCCCUG
rnacentral:snRNA from 1 species